rnacentral:lncRNA from 1 species
UUUUUUUUAAAUGUCACUACUAUCAUCAUGCUUUGUAUUUCAGCUUUUAUUUUCUCUAUCUCAAUUAAUAGGAAUCUCAUAUAGUCUUUUAAACUCAUUAGAGACAUUAGAAAAGGGGAUCCCUUAUCACCCUAUAUUUUUAUUAUUUGUUGAGGUUCUCUCUGCUUUUAUCUUGUAAAGUCAAAAUACUCAUUAUAUUCAUGGGAUAUCCAUAUCUAGGAAUCAC